rnacentral:rRNA from 1 species
UAGAGGAAGUAAAAGUCGUAACAAGGUUUCCGUAGGUGAACCUGCGGAAGGAUCAUUAAUGAAUUUUGAAAGGGGUUGUAGCUGGCYUUUUCGUUUGAGAGGCAUUUUGUGCACACCCUGAUCAUCAUCCAUUUCAGACACCUGUGCACAUACUGUAGGUUGGUUUGUGAGGCAGGCACUUUCAUCGGUGCAGCUUUGUGAGCCUUCCUAUGUUUUUAUUAUAAACAACUGUCGUUUAAAGAAUGUUUAUUGCGUGCAACGCAUCUACAUAUACAACUUUCAGCAACGGAUCUCUUGGCUCUCGCAUCGAUGAAGAACGCAGCGAAAUGCGAUAAGUAAUGUGAAUUGCAGAAUUCAGUGAAUCAUCGAAUCUUUGAACGCAUCUUGCGCUCCUUGGUAUUCCGAGGAGCAUGCCUGUUUGAGUGUCAUGGAAUUCUCAACCUCAUUUGCUUCUGUGAAUGAGGCUUGGAUUUGGAGGUGUUUGCUGGAUUUGUAUGUUCAGCUCCUCUUGAAUUCAUUAGCUCGAGCCUUUUGCGGAUCGGCCUCAGUGUGAUAAUUAUCUACGCUGUUCUGUGAAGCAUUACACUGUGGGUUUCGGCUUCCAAUUGUCUUUGCGGACAACAAAUUUGAUCUUUGACCUCAGAUCAGGUAGGAUUACCCGCUGAACUUAAGCAUAUCA